rnacentral:lncRNA from 1 species
GAAUGUAUGUUUAUUAAUGUGGAUAUGGUUUGGAUGUUCAUUGUAUGAUAUUUGAUGAAAAAUUAAUAAUUCUCAAUAAAAAAAGGAAAUAAAUCCCGGUUGAAUGAAAUUGACUUCGAUGGAUCACUGAAAAGAGAAUUGAAGGUAAAAAAAGAUCUAGCCUGGACGGGUGAUCUAAAUAUUAGCCCUCCCAAAGAAUAUGUGUGAAAUGGAUUUAGCCUGGAUGGGUAAUCCAAAUUAAGCUCAUUAGAGUAAUUGUCAUGGCAGGGGAUUUAGCC